AUUCAAUGACAAGGGUGCUUUCGUAAUAAUUCUUUGUACCUUUCCCAUGACUCAUAAAAGGACUCAUCAUCCAUUUGUUGGAAAGUAUCGAUCUCAUUCCUCAACUU
rnacentral:snoRNA from 1 species